rnacentral:rRNA from 1 species
AACGAACGCUGGCGGCAUGCCUAACACAUGCAAGUCGAACGAGACCUUCGGGUCUAGUGGCGCACGGGUGCGUAACGCGUGGGAACCUGCCCUUAGGUUCGGAAUAACUCCCCGAAAGGGGUGCUAAUACCGGAUAAUGUCUUCGGACCAAAGAUUUAUCGACUUUGGAUGGGCCCGCGUUGGAUUAGCUAGUUGGUAGGGUAAAAGCCUACCAAGGCGACGAUCCAUAGCUGGUCUGAGAGGAUGAUCAGCCACACUGGGACUGAGACACGGCCCAGACUCCUGCGGGAGGCAGCAGUGGGGAAUAUUGGACAAUGGGCGAAAGCCUGAUCCAGCAAGGCCGCGUGAGUGAUGAAGGCCUUAGGGUUGUAAAGCUCUUUUACCCGGGAUGAUAAUGACAGUACCGGGAGAAUAAGCACCGGCUAACUCCGUG